rnacentral:rRNA from 1 species
CGGAACACGUACGCAACCUUCCUUUAACUGGAGAAUAGCCCCUCGAAAGAGGGAUUAAUACUCCGUAACAUCCCGACAUGGCAUCAUGACGGGAUUAUAGCUCCGGCGGUUAAAGAUGGGCGUGCGCCUGAUUAGAUAGUUGGCGGGGUAACGGCCCACCAAGUCUGCGAUCAGUAACUGGUGUGAGAGCACGACCAGUCACACGGGCACUGAGACACGGGCCCG